AACGAACGCUGGCGGCAGGCCUAACACAUGCAAGUCGAGCGCCCCGCAAGGGGAGCGGCAGACGGGAGAGUAACACGUGGGAACGUGCCCUUUGGUUCGGAACAACCCAGGGAAACUUGGGCUAAUACCGGAUAAGCCCUCACGGGGAAAGAUUUAUCGCCGAAGGAUCGGCCCGCGUCUGAUUAGCUAGUUGGUGGGGUAAUGGCCCACCAAGGCGACGAUCAGUAGCUGGUCUGAGAGGAUGAUCAGCCACAUUGGGACUGAGACACGGCCCAAACUCCUACGGGAGGCAGCAGUGGGGAAUAUUGGACAAUGGGCGCAAGCCUGAUCCAGCCAUGCCGCGUGAGUGAUGACGGCCUUAGGGUUGUAAAGCUCUUUCGCACGCGACGAUAAUGACGGUAGCGUGAGAAGAAGCCCCGGCUAACUUCGUGCCAGCCGCCGCAGUAACAC
rnacentral:rRNA from 1 species